rnacentral:rRNA from 1 species
CCUACGGGGGGCAGCAGUGAGGAAUAUUGGUCAAUGGACGAGAGUCUGAACCAGCCAAGUAGCGUGAAGGAUGACUGCCCUAUGGGUUGUAAACUUCUUUUAUAUGGGAAUAAAACGUUCCACGUGUGGGAUUUUGUAUGUACCAUAUGAAUAAGGAUCGGCUAACUCCGUGCCAGCAGCCGCGGUAAUACGGAGGAUCCGAGCGUUAUCCGGAUUUAUUGGGUUUAAAGGGAGCGUAGGUGGAUUGUUAAGUCAGUUGUGAAAGUUUGCGGCUCAACCGUAAAAUUGCAGUUGAAACUGGCAGUCUUGAGUACAGUAGAGGUGGGCGGAAUUCGUGGUGUAGCGGUGAAAUGCUUAGCUAUCACGAAGAACUCCGAUUGCGAAGGCAGUUCACUGGACUGCAACUGACACUGAGGCUCGAAAGUGUGGGUAUCAAACAGGAUUAGAUACCCGAGUAGUC